UUUACUUAUUCAAGGGAUGUAUCCCGGAUUUCUUUUUUGCUUGAGUCUGAUGACUUUGGCAUGGACCAAAUAUGGGUUGACGCACAGAGAGCUCCUCUCAGUAUGUAGGUUGGAGCCAGGACAGACGAAGAGACACAGAGAGACACCCAAGUCUCACCAUGUGAAAGACUGAGAGGUGAGGAGGGGUGUAGGAGGAGCGGAAAGCAGUCAGCCCUAGUGACAGCCGAACUGCGAAGAAGAUGGGAUGUUCCAGAGCCUGAAUGAGGACUUCGGAGUACCCAAGGGACAAAGAAACAGAAGAAUCUUAAAAAUUGACCUCAUUUUACAAAAGAAACAAAUGGAAAUACCCAAAGAGGAAACAAUAUGGAGAGACUCAGUUCAGCUCAUCAAUAAAAGGACACAAGACUUAAAAACAGAAGGGCCAAGAAAACCAGUUGCAAUAGGGAUACUAAGAAAAUGGCAUCCAACUUCAUGAACAAGUCCUGUGGUUGCUGUGGAGUAGGUCAUGGACGACAGGGAUGAAGUGUCCUUAAACUCUUGCCUGUGAAAUCAGAAAGACACCUGACCCAAGUUGUAGCAGGACUGAAUAAGCGACAGAAAGCCACAACUGUGAGGCGUCUGGCUUUAACUAGGUACCGGCAUAAUGCAGUGAAAUAAUAUAACAGACUCCGGUGGCUGACGGCAGGACGUGUUCUGAAAUGCAAGCCACGUCACCUGUAGCCUCUGUCAGCAUGACACCUGUCAUUCUGAGGAUGUCAGAGGUAGACAGGGUGGGGCUUCAGAAGAUGAUUAAAUAAUGACAGCUAUAGGAGGCCGGGCCUGGCUGGUGGGAACGGGUUCCCAGGGUGUAACUUCUCCCUGGCAGCCUCUCCUGUCUGGGCUUCCCAGUGUCUGGAGGUGAGGGUAUCACUAAGACACUACAUUGCCUGGGCUGGGCUCAGAGUUGCGAUCCUCAGCCUCCUAGAGUUCUGGGAUCACAGGCGUGCACCACUACACCCACCUGUCUCAUCUCCAGGAAGAGGAACCGGAUGAAGAGGGAGGAAAAUUGCAACUACUGUCUCCCCAUGAGACUGCUGGGCUCAUGCCUCAGACCCUGCAACCCUGCAGCCCCUGGAGGUUCCACUCCCAUUGAAUGACAGCAGUUCUUUCACCUCUGGGCCACCACAGACUGCCCUUUUGUGAAGGAGACAUCAGUGACAUCUGGUGGCCUGCUUGGUCUUGUUGGACUUGCCUGCAGCAUUAGAACCCAUCCUGGUGGCUGGUUGAGCAUGCAUGGGCUUAACCCUGGGUGUGGGCCGUUGCCCUGAGGAGAGGGGUGAUGAACUCCAGGUCGUCUUUCUCCAUCUUUGCUAGCAAUUGUCGCAGCACAGGGACAUGGCCCCGCCACCUGGUUUGGGGAGGAGAAACUCACAAGACUUCCUGCAAAAGACUCACUGGAAAACACACACCCGAGGCACCAAGUCAGAAGGUCAGACAGAAGCUGGUGGGGAGCUCUGUUUUGCAGAUGGGUAGGUUUCUAUCUGGUAGAAAGUUUUAGCAAUGGGGAGUCUCAGACCAAAGAACCCUGUACAUGUCACACACUUAAAGAGGUGAGACAGGAGGCCAGGAAUGCUUGGAACGUUAGGUGAAACUCAUUCGUAGAAGAGAAUGCUGAAAGAUUAAAAAGUAUGGUUUCCUAAAUCACUCUCUAAAGACUGGCAUGGGCAUCACCAGUUGUGCUCCAGUUGCCCCACAGCUCUGCACCCAGGGUCAAUGAGCUCAGCUAGCUGUGGGCACAGCCAGGUCCCCAGGGGACUCUGGGGGUAAUAGAGCAGCAAGGUACACUAUGGGGCAGACACUUAGGAGAUGGGUCCCUCCGCUCCUAGGUCCCCGUGAGAUUGCCAGUGGAAGGAAGUAUUCGUCUACUACCCCUCUUCCUGUUGCUUUCUGAAUGUAGCACUGCUUCAAGUCUCUUUAUGCCCCAGCUUUGUUUAAAAUGGGCAAAUUGAUUUCUUAUUCCAGGAAAGGCACACAUAAAAAGGGUCAUAUGGCUUCUCUGACAUCAAAUAGUUUUUUUUACAUAACAAGCUGUUUUAAUAAAUUGCGUGCCUCCAAAUUAAAGCCAUAUGGGAGGUGCCUGGACCAGAAGGGCAGAGAGACUAUGGGUAAUUGGUCCACAAUUCAAAUGCCAGAGUAAUUCUAGGAGGCCGGAGCUGGAUCUGAAGGACCUGGCAGGUCCAUCUCCUGCCUUCUGCAGAGGCCACGAUGUGGAUUGUUAAAUACUUGGGUUGCUCAUUAGUCAGAAGUAGCACAAUGAGAUGAAAAGGGAAAUUCUGAUGUUACAUAGAGAGGAGAAUUAUGUUCGUUUAUAGCGAAGUAUCUAAUUGGCCAUGUGUAGCAAGCAUAUGGGUUUACUGUUUUUAUGGGAAAGAGCCCAAUGCCUCUCCUUCACUGUGUGAGCUGUGGCCUUCGGACAUCCACUUCCAGAUCAGAGAAGGUCCAGGUUUCAAAGCAAACCAUGCAUUGGAAUCAGCAAAUGGGCUGCUUCACCUGCAACACCAAAUUCCAGCGCCUGCAAAGAUUGUACUCUGUGACCAAGGAAACCAGGUGAAGGGUGUGCUGUUCCCACGAUCACUCUCAGUUGCAGGUUGCUGGCUGCGCUAUUGUGCGAGUCCUGUUCUGGAGCUCUCUGCCCCUGUUUGCCUAUUAAUGACAAAUGGAUUUUCCUUGGGAAAUUCCUCAACUCCUUUUACUUUAACUCCUCAUCUAAGAAAUGGAGAUAUGUGUAUGUAGCUCAGAGCGCUGCCUUGAGAGUUUCAUGGACACCACUACCCAUAGCUUCUACAGCCAAAUGAUAGACAGGCCUCCCCGCAAAAUAAGGAGUGAGCUGCACACUCACACCUAGUGUCCAUGUUAGAGAUAAUUCAUGAGAAGUUUGAAACAAUCUUUAUAAAAUAGUUUUAAACCUAUGUUGAUAUCACUGGGCAAAACUUUCAUCAUUAAGGAUCCAAAUAGAAUGAAAACUUAAUCUUUCAUAUUUCCAUAUUUUUCUCAUCACUAUACUGAACCACAGCAGUGGGUUCUCAAAUGUUUUGGCCUCUGGAAUCACUAAUAUUUUGUUUAUGUGGAUUGGAUAUAUCAAUAUUUACUAUAUAAAUAAUUACAACUGAGAG